rnacentral:rRNA from 1 species
UACGGAGGGUGCAAGCGUUAUCCGGAUUCACUGGGUUUAAAGGGUGCGUAGGAGGGCAGGUAAGUCAGUGGUGAAAUCUUCGGGCUUAACUCGGAACUGCCGUUGAUACUAUCUGUCUUGAAUACCGUGGAGGUGAGCGGAAUAUGUCAUGUAGCGGUGAAAUGCUUAGAUAUGACAUAGAACACCAAUUGCGAAGGCAGCUCGCUACACGAAUAUUGACUCUGAGGCACGAAAGCGUGGGGAUCAAACAGGA